AUUGAACGCUGGCGGCAUGCCUUACACAUGCAAGUUGAACGGCAGCACGGGUGCUUGCACCUGGUGGCGAGUGGCGAACGGGUGAGUAAUACAUCGGAACAUGUCCUGUAGUGGGGGAUAGCCCGGCGAAAGCCGGAUUAAUACCGCAUACGAUCUACGGAUGAAAGCGGGGGACCUUCGGGCCUCGCGCUAUAGGGUUGGCCGAUGGCUGAUUAGCUAGUUGGUGGGGUAAAGGCCUACCAAGGCGACGAUCAGUAGCUGGUCUGAGAGGACGACCAGCCACACUGGGACUGAGACACGGCCCAGACUCCUACGGGAGGCAGCAGUGGGGAAUUUUGGACAAUGGGCGAAAGCCUGAUCCAGCAAUGCCGCGUGUGUGAAGAAGGCCUUCGGGUUGUAAAGCACUUUUGUCCGGAAAGAAAUCCUUGGCUCUAAUACAGUCGGGGGAUGACGGUACCGGAAGAAUAAGCACCGGCUAACUACGUG
rnacentral:rRNA from 1 species